rnacentral:rRNA from 1 species
AAUCUUCCACAAUGGACGAAAGUCUGAUGGAGCAACGCCGCGUGAGUGAUGAAGGUUUUCGGAUCGUAAAACUCUGUUGCGAGGGAAGAACAAGUACGAGAGUAACUGCUCGUACCUUGACGGUACCUCGUUAGAAAGCCACGGCUAACUACGUGCCAGCAGCCGCGGUAAUACGUAGGUGGCAAGCGUUGUCCGGAAUUAUUGGGCGUAAAGCGCGCGCAGGCGGCCUUUUAAGUCUGAUGUGAAAGCCCACGGCUUAACCGUGGAAGGUCAUUGGAAACUGGAAGGCUUGAGGAUAGAAGAGGAAAGUGGAAUUCCACGUGUAGCGGUGAAAUGCGUAGAGAUGUGGAGGAACACCAGUGGCGAAGGCGACUUUCUGGUCUAUAACUGACGCUGAGGCGCGAAAGCGUGGGGAGCAAACAG